rnacentral:rRNA from 1 species
GCGUGAGUGAAGAAGGUCUUCGGAUUGUAAAGCUCUUUUGCCAGGGACGAUAAUGACGGUACCUGGAGAAUAAGCCCCGGCAAACUUCGUGCCAGCAGCCGCGGUAAUACGAAGGGGGCUAGCGUUGUUCGGAAUUACUGGGCGUAAAGCGCACGUAGGCGGGUGGUUAAGUCAGGGGUGAAAUCCCGGAGCUCAACUCCGGAACUGCCUUUGAUACUGGCCAUCUAGAGAUCGGAAGAGGUGAGUGGAAUUCCCAGUGUAGAGGUGAAAUUCGU